rnacentral:hammerhead_ribozyme from 2 species
ACGCGAAACCGGCCCCGAUAAUGGGCCGGUCGAUGGGGCGUUGUGGCCCUGUCCUGAUGAGCAGCUUGGG